AUCUUAUCAAGAGAAGCAGAGGGAAAUGGCCCGUUGAAGCUUCAGCAACCUCUAACAUUGUUAGAAAGGUGCUAAUUCCAGCAAGACGUAUGUCUUGAGAGAUAAGAG
rnacentral:ncRNA from 2 species